rnacentral:rRNA from 1 species
CCAACCCAAUGUGAACGUUACCAAUCUGUUGCCUCGGCGGGAUUCUCUGCCCCGGGCGCGUCGCAGCCCCGGAUCCCAUGGCGCCCGCCGGAGGACCAACUCAAACUCUUUUUUUCUCUCCGUCGCGGCCUACGUCGCGGCUCUGUUUUAUUUUUGCUCUGAGCCUUUCUCGGCGACCCUAGCGGGCGUCUCGAAAAUGAAUCAAAACUUUCAACAACGGAUCUCUUGGUUCUGGCAUCGAUGAAGAACGCAGCGAAAUGCGAUAAGUAAUGUGAAUUGCAGAAUUCAGUGAAUCAUCGAAUCUUUGAACGCACAUUGCGCCCGCCAGUAUUCUGGCGGGCAUGCCUGUCCGAGCGUCAUUUCAACCCUCGAACCCCUCCGGGGGGUCGGCGUUGGGGAUCGGCCCCUCACCGGGCCGCCCCCGAAAUACAGUGGCGGUCUCGCCGCAGCCUCUCCUGCGCAGUAGUUUGCACACUCGCACCGGGAGCGCGGCGCGGCCACAGCCGUAAAACACCCCAAACUCUGAAAUGUUGACCUCGGAUCAGGUAGGAAUACCCGCUGAACUUAAGCAUAUCAAUAAGCGGAGGAA